GAUGAAGAACGUAGCGAAAUGCGAUAAGUAAUGUGAAUUGCAGAAUUCAGUGAAUCAUCGAAUCUUUGAACGCACCUUGCGCCCUUUGGCUAUUCCGAAGGACAUGCCUGUUUAAGUAUCAUGAACAUCUCAACUCCUCACGGUUCGCCCGUGACGAGCUUGGACUUUGGGGGUCUUGCCGGCCUGCGGGUCGGCUCCUCUCAAAUGAAUCAGCUUGCCGGUGUUUGGUGGCGUCACAGGUGUGAUAAAUAUCUACGCUUGUGGUUUUCCGCCAGGUAACCUCCAGCGAUGGGGGUUCACUGGAGCUCACGAAUGUCUCUCCUCGGUGAGGACAGCUCUUUGAACGUUUGAUCUCAAAUCAGGUAGGGCUACCCGCUGAACUUAAGCAUAUCAAUAAGCGGAGGA
rnacentral:misc_RNA from 1 species